CACACCUAAUCAAAGAUUAUCUCGAAGUUUGACGAUUUUCCUCGUCCACAUCUCAUGAUCCUCACGUGUUUUUUUUUAAAUAUUUUUAAUCUCUUAAUCUAUUCGAUUAGAAGAUUACUGACAAAACUUAACAACCAACUAAAGUGUUUUUUUUAAACUAAAGUGUUGUUUUGACAAAAGAAAAACCUAAAGUGUUGUCCAAAAUUAACAAUAAGAGGUUUAAAAUAUUAAAUUGUUUGACGAUUCCCAAGUAAAAGAUUGAAGACUCUCAAGUCUCAACUAUUAAUAUUUCUUCUUUUGUUUCAUUUUAAUUAUCGUUCUACGUUUAUGCAUAUAGAUUAAAAAACGUAUAAUUUUGUAUAUUUCUAAAAUAAAAACACAAUUAUCUAUACACAUAACCAUAUUUUAUUUUAAUAGAAAAUUAAAAUGAAGAAUCUUAUUAAUAAAUUUUACAUUGAAACUUUAAAACAACACUUAUUUUGAAAUGAAUUUUUUUCCUACAACGACAACUAAAUCAAAACGGAAGGAGCAAAAACAUUAAGAAAUUUCUUAGUUAUUAGUUUAUUAGAGAAAAGUUAGCAUUGAUUUAAAAUACACAAAAAGUCGGUUUUGUUCAUGUCCAAUUUGAAAAGUAUAUCAGCAACAAAAUAAAAAUAUAUAUGUACAUAUACAUGUAUACAUUGUUUAAUUAGGCUGCCUAACUUGUUGCAUAAGUGUGUCUAAUACUGUGUUGUACUCCUGUCUUCUACCGCAUGUCCAUAUCUUUCGAUUGACUAUAAAAUAAAAUUCAAAAAAAAUCUUUUGAUUGACUAUAUCAUAAUCUAUAAUACCAUGUUCGAUCCAAGAAAAAUUCAAAGAAAAGAUGUGUAUAUAUGUAUAUGUAUUUAUACUUGCUUUAAAAUAUGGUGCAUCUGUUUGGUUGAUAUAUAUAUAAUUUUAACAAAUUUGUUACUUAUAAUUCUUUAACAUUCAUUUGGUUGAUAUAUUACUAAAAUUCUGUCACUUUAGAUUUAGCAUCAUAUAUUACACAUAGAUUAACGAUGGUUCAUGUUAGUAAAGAAAAUCCACAAAAUUUAAAAUAGUAUUCCAUAUAUUAAGAAGUAACAAUACCAGUUACUAGUUUUUUUUUUGAGAAACAGUUACUAGUUGCUAGUUACAGUAAUAAAUAUGUAAAAUAUCACUCCAUAUAUUAAAAAUCUUGUAGAAUAACAAUUACGAUAUUUUAAUUUCGAGAUAUCACGUCACUGAACUACCAACCAACAAAACUACUGAUAAUCAAGUGCCAGGUAUAAUGCUGCGAACUACAAAAAUAAAACUGGUAAGCCGACUAAUUAAGAAUUUAGGUGUCUGAAACUAGUAAAAGAAUGUCUAAAUGUUACGUUACUGAAAACAAUAAAAAUUAAAGUAUAGUUUCCGUUAUUACUGCAGUCACCAGUUAAUCACGUAUAAAACAUUGUCGAUUACGCGAUUUUUUUUAAACACUAGAAUAUACUACAGAGGAAAUAUACAAGGUGGAAAGUAGGGAUGGAAUGCAUUUGAGAUAUACAAAGCUAGUAAGAACAAAACAGUACUCCAGUCGUUUCAAUAUAGAUGAUGUUUUAGAAUAAGUAUUCUAUUUCAGUUUACAUGAAAUUUUGAAAUUUUAAGAUUAAAAUUGUUUAACCACUUAAAUUUUACAGUUUUUUUUUAUAAUUGGUUAAAUGAUUUAAAAAUUACAUUUUUAAAAAUGAUUUUUUAACAAAAUAUAAUUUUUUAAUUUUUGUGGACUAAGACAAAAUAUCGAGUAUUAUGAAACUGAAGGAAUAAAAUUAAAAGUUACCGUAUAACCAAUCAUUCUAUUUUAUGUUCUUUUCUGAAAUUUGUGGUUUGUUUGGCCUUUGCUCAUGUCGUAGUUUUGUGACACAUGGCAAGUAAAUGAAGAUGACAUUCAAUUCGUUGGAAUUGCUAGCGGGCCCAUGAAAAUACUUAAACCACACAAGACCAAAAAUUGGUUUAUUAAUAGUUUGAAUGUUUGAUCAAGAAGAAAAAAAAAAGUUAAUUAUGGAGUAAGGCGAAGUAUAUGAGUUUCAAAUGGAAGGAUUUGAUCCUUAUAAAUCAAAUUUGAAAUUGAUACAGUUUUUAACUACUCAAAUUGCAAAUUUGCUACAGUUUUCACUAAACUAAAACCGGCAUGUUGGUUAUGAAGAGUAAUGACCGGUUUAUGCGGCGGCUGGAUAUGUCUGAUGGCUGUGUGGCUCGAGAUCAUUAUCGGGAUUUGGGAACUGAAAACGAAAGGAGUGACCCAUAUAUUGUAGGAUUUCUGCCACGUGUUGUAAUCCACAUCGUAGUAAUUGCUUUUGGAUUUGGGGAAUUAUCAUUUAGGCCCUUUUAUUAUAAUAUAUCGAUUGCUUUAAGGCCGCUAUUUUCUAUGCUUCCCGACUGUUAAGCCCAUUUAACUAAAUUGUUCCACUACACUAAUAUAAUACAUGCGGCUUCUAAAACCCAACACUUUGGUAAGUACCACCAGCACAAUCACAAGUCUAUGUCUCUUUAUGUUUUCCUCACUAAUAUAUCUCUAAAAAUGAUCAGCCAGACAAUGAUUCUUGAUCAGUUGAAGAGAUCCUUCCAUGCUUCAAAAUUCAGGUCCCAUGGAGCACCAUAGGGACAAGAGAUUCCGAGGCAGAACUUUAUGGCAUGGUUACGGGAUAAAAUGAUUACUUGGGGACUUCUGGUAAACCCACUCAGUUUCCUUUGGAACCAACUCUUCUUAAGUUGACCUUGCUCUCAUGAAGUCUGGUCAACUGGUUCAGUAAUAAUCAUGGCAUUCCCUCCACUGCUUGAAUCUUGACUUGAAAUUUGCCUAUAAAACAAAAAGACUACUCAACUAUAUAUAUGGCGCACAAAUAUCUAUGAGAUAUGGCAUGGGAGGAACAAUAGGAUCCACACUACAAAACAAAAUGCACCACAAAAUAUUCAGACCACUAUUAAGAACAAAACUUCUUCCUACCAAUCUCACUGCAUACCAGUCUCAUUUAGUGGCAGUAUCUCACUAAAUGACUAAAUGUCUGCACUAGAUCGUUACAUGUGCAUAACUUAAAGACUUUAUAGAGAGGUACUAAAAGUUAACAGGAAAUAUAAUAUUUCGUCUGUCACUGAAACUGAAUCGAUACAGCAUAUAUGAUCAAACCAUUGACACAUCCUAAAAUAAGCCAUCAAACUAUCGCCACAUUGAUCUCGAAGACAGAGAUUAAGAGUGAUACUAGUGAUCCAUUUUGUGUAAUAUAGUUUGAUAACACGAUCUAAGGCAUAUCAUUAGGCUAUAUGAUGCAUCAUACGGUGAAAGUGACCCACCACCACAUGACAUCAAUCGCUAUCAUACACAUGGGGAUGAUGAUGAUGAUGCCGUUCUUUUUCUUCCAGCAAAAGACAUCCUUUUUACUUGUUUUUUCCAUGCUUCUCUUUUCUUGUGUUUAUGGAUAUGUAUAAUUAGAACUCUCAGUCUAGAGUGCUUUAUUGUAUGUUUCUUGUGAUGAAAUAUUGAAAUAGACUAAAGACAUCAUAAUCAAUAUACACUAUACUCUUUUGAUAUAUGUAAGACAGUAAGAGUAUGGCUAAUGAAUUAUUUUUUUCACUCUUUCAUACUAUGAUUAAUUGCGGCGACUUCCACCCACCAAAGGUUUUACCGGUGAUUAAACAGACGCGGCAGAUGCAUUUUUGUAACAAAGAGUCUAACAAGUCGAUGUAUAUAUAAUUUCACAUUUGUUACACAAUAUUUUUAUAUCAGUAAAAUAAACAAAACAACUUCUGAUUAGUAAGUUAUUAUCAUCAUAAUAAUUUGGCAAAACUACAAUUUAUGUGACGCCGUUAUGUCAUCUUUAUGGUAACUAAGAAGAGUAAAUAUAUAGUCCUUUGGUGGACGUAUAGUAUUCGUAUUUGUAGGUAGUAUGAUAGUAUUUUCUUUAUCUACCAUCAAAUAUAAUAUUACCGAUUAAACCGUGUUUGUACGACAAAUCAUUGAAGAUAUCAAUAUAAGCUAUACUGAUAUUUUCGAUGACCUGGUAUACGGGCCACUACAGUACGUAACGUGUAUGAUCAUUUCUAGAACUUGAAAAGUGGGAAAUAAAAAGUAAUAGUAUGACGCUCAUUUCCAGAACUUCAAAAGUGGGAGAUAAAGAGUUGAUAUCGAUUCACUAUUUGGUUUUAAAUGUUACGGGGUGGAAAAUGAAAAAUCAAAAGUAAACGGUUAAAUCUGUGAAAGUUUGCCAACAGGGGAAAACUGGGAAAAUAGCGAUCUAUAUGUUACUUUUAUUACAUUUAGUGAUCUGAAGACUUUUUUGUUCACCAACCAAUCAAGUCAUGUGUCUUUUUUGUUUUCUUACUACGACAUUUGCGUGCGAAAUUGCUAAUCAAACAUAGUAUAAAAUAUCAUAAAGCAAUGUCCACACCAACACUAGUUCCAUGGAUGCAGUGUUUUUAAUCGUAAAAAAAUGUAUGCCUUAAAAGUGUGGUAUGAGUUAAUACUAAUUAAUGUUUAAUUGGAUUUUUACUGUUUAAUCAGCGAGUCCGAAACACAACGUUAUUUUUAUUUUAUUUUUGUUUAAUCUUGGAUAUUUUUGGUGAUGUCCAACUAAUUCCCCAAAAAAUAAUACGAACCUUUGUUAAACAAAAAAAUAAUAAUACGAACCUAAAUCAUGGUUUCAUAUUCAUUUGACCAAACAAAUAACAAUUUAGUUUCUAACACUGACUCAAAUCCAUAACCCGGUUCUGAAUUAUCUUGAUAGGAAAUAUAGUAAAUUAUCAUUUUAUAUGAAUUAUAGUUUUUAGUUUAAUCAAUUUUAUUAGAUUAAGCUUGAAAAUCCGUCAGUGCCAAAAUUUAAAAAUUAAGAUACUUAUAUGUACCCUAUAUUAUGUUUCUAAUAAAAAUAUUAUAACCAUAAUUAUUAAUAUUAUUUUGACAUAGCCAAAAUGAUGAACACCAUAGACAAUUAGACAUAACCAAACCGUAUAAAAAUUUCAGUAACAUUAUUAAUUUAUUAUGUUUAUUAUUUUGACAUCCUUUACACAGUAGUACUUUUACAUGAUAAAUAUUAAAUAUAGUUAAUUUGCAAAUGGAUAAUGGAAAACAAGUUGUAAGCUUUAUUUCAAACAACAACGUCAAAAACAAUCCAGCAAAAG